rnacentral:rRNA from 1 species
GUCUUCUUGUUUAUCAUAGGAAGUCUGACCUGCCCAGUGAAUAAUUUUUUAACGGCCGCGGUAUUUUGACCGUGCAAAGGUAGCAUAAUCAUUAGUCUUUUAAUAGAAGGCUGGCAUGAAUGGUUUGACGAGGUGCUGACUGUCUCAUUUAAUUUUUUAUUAGAAUUUAACUUUUUAGUCAAAAGGCUAAAAUUUGUUUGGAAGACGAGAAGACCCUAUAGAGCUUUAUAAUAUUUUGACUAAUCAUAUUUGGUUUAAUUUCUUUGGUUAUUUUACUUAUUAUUUUGUUGGGGUGACAAAAAUAUAUAAUCAACUUUUUUAUUUAUUUAACAUUAAUUUAUGAUUUAUAGGAUCCAUUCUUAGUGAUUACUAGACUAAGUUACCUUAGGGAUAACAGCGUAAUCUUCUUUCAGAGUUCAAAUUUACAAGAAGGCUUGCGACCUCGAUGUUGGAUUAAGAUUAUAAUUAGGUGCAGCCGCUUAAUUUAUAGGUCUGUUCGACCUUUAAUUUCUUACAUGAUCUGAGUUCAAACCGG